rnacentral:rRNA from 1 species
AGAGCGGCGGACGGGUGAGUAAUGCCUAGGAAUCUGCCUGGUAGUGGGGGAUAACGUUCGGAAACGGACGCUAAUACCGCAUACGUCCUACGGGAGAAAGCAGGGGACCUUCGGGCCUUGCGCUAUCAGAUGAGCCUAGGUCGGAUUAGCUAGUUGGUGAGGUAAUGGCUCACCAAGGCGACGAUCCGUAACUGGUCUGAGAGGAUGAUCAGUCACACUGGAACUGAGACACGGUCCAGACUCCUACGGGAGGCAGCAGUGGGGAAUAUUGGACAAUGGGCGAAAGCCUGAUCCAGCCAUGCCGCGUGUGUGAAGAAGGUCUUCGGAUUGUAAAGCACUUUAAGUUGGGAGGAAGGGCAGUUACCUAAUACGUGAUUGUUUUGACGUUACCGACAGAAUAAGCACCGGCUAACUCUGUGCCAGCAGCCGCGGUAAUACAGAGGGUGCAAGCGUUAAUCGGAAUUACUGGGCGUAAAGCGCGCGUAGGUGGUUUGUUAAGUUGGAUGUGAAAUCCCCGGGCUCAACCUGGGAACUGCAUUCAAAACUGACUGACUAGAGUAUGGUAGAGGGUGGUGGAAUUUCCUGUGUAGCGGUGAAAUGCGUAGAUAUAGGAAGGAACACCAGUGGCGAAGGCGACCACCUGGACUGAUACUGACACUGAGGUGCGAAAGCG